AAAAAAAAAAAAAAAAAAUUCAAUAAAUGUUUUUAACAAAAGAAUAAUAUGAAAAAACAUUGUGUAUAUCUUUGUAUAAAUAUAUUAAUCUCCAAUCUUACAAUACAAUGAUAAAAUAUGAUCGAUUCUGAUAGUGAGAGUUUUACAAAUUCAGAUGAAAAUAUGCAGGGAGAAUAUAUACCGGUUGUUAAAUUUGGGGGGAACCAAUCACAUUCAAAAGUUGGAAAAUUAGGUUCUAAUGGAAAACGUAAUAGAGACACAGAUUAUGGUCAUCUAUAUGGAAUAAACAAAGCUUUUUUUUCACCUCAAGGGAAAUACAUAGCAGGAUGUGGAACUGAUGGUACUAUUUACUUAUAUGAUUUAAAUUUAAAUAAAAUGUUAACCGAAAUUAACACAAGAAUUGAUUGCAUCAAUGAUUUGGUAAUUAGUGAUAAUGAGAAAUAUAUUUAUGUAUGUGGUAAUAAUAAACGUAUUGAAAUAUUUGAUUUAUUAAGUAAUAUAAAAUUUCGUAAUAAUAAAAUGAAAACAUAUGUGGAUAGAUCUAUAAAGGAAAUACCUUCUGAUUUUUAUUUUAACUUUUUGGUAAAAAAUAAUAAAAAAUUAGUUCGUUUUUCUAAUAAUAAUGAAGUACUAAGAAAUGUAAUAAAUAAUAAAUACAUUCCAAGUAAGAAAGUUAAAUAUACAGAUUUUAGGAAUAAAAAAACAAUCAGCAAUCCUGUAUAUAAGUUUGAUGAUAUAACCCAAUUUGAUUUGAAUGUGAUAAAAAAUAGAAUUAGUAAAAAAAACACGUAUAUACGAUUAUGUU
rnacentral:lncRNA from 1 species